CUUAUCUCUCUCUCUCUCUCUCUCUUUUAAACAGAGGAAGACAAACAUAAAGAUGAAGUGCUUAAUUCAAGGUCACACAAUGUCGGGGAUGGACCUCCAGAUUUCCUUACUGACCUGCAUUAUCUUGUGGAUACCUGAGUGAAUUCCACACCACCCAUUUUAUAGAUGAAACCACUGAGACAUGGAGCAAUUGACUGAGUAGUCACUGCCCCACCCCUGCCUGGAGCCUCACACAUGACUCGCCUCCUCUCAGUGACCACAGGUGAGACGUGGUCUUGUAACACAGUGGUUAAGAAUGUGACUUUGGAGCCAGCCUGCUAGGGGCUGAAUUCUGACUCAGCCAUUUACUAACUGUGUGACCUUAGGCUGGAGUGCAAUGGCAUGAUCUCGGCUCAUCACAACCUCUGCUUCCUGGGUUCAAGCGAUUCUCCUGCCUCAGCCUCCCGAGUACCUGGGACUACAGGCACUCGCCACCAUG
rnacentral:lncRNA from 10 species